GAUGAAGAACGCAGCAAAAUGCGAUAAGUAAUGUGAAUUGCAGAAUUCAGUGAAUCAUCGAAUCUUUGAACGCACAUUGCGCCCGCCAGUAUUCUGGCCGGCAUGCCUGUUCGAGCGUCAUUUCAACCCUCAAGCACAGCUUGGUGUUGGGACUCGCGUUAAUUCGCGUUCCUCAAAUUGAUUGGCGGUCACGUCGAGCUUCCAUAGCGUAGUAGUAAAACCCUCGUUACUGGUAAUCGUCGCGGCCACGCCGUUAAACCCCAACUUCUGAAUGUUGACCUCGGAUCAGGUAGGAAUACCCGCUGAACUUAAGCAUAUCAAUAAGCGGAGGA
rnacentral:misc_RNA from 1 species